CUACGGAACUCCUACGGGAGGCAGCAGUGGGGAAUAUUGCACAAUGGGCGGAAGCCCGAUGCAGUGACGCCGCGUGGGGGAUGACGGUCUUCGGAUUGUAAACCCCUUUCAGUAGGGACGAAGCGCAAGUGACGGUACCUGCAGAAGAAGCACCGGCUAACUACGUGCCAGCAGCCGCGGUAAUACGUAGGGUGCGAGCGUUGUCCGGAAUUACUGGGCGUAAGGAGCUCGUAGGCGGUUCGUCACGUCGUCUGUGAAAUCCCUCGGCUUAACCGGGGGCGUGCAGGCGAUACGGGCAGACUUGAGUACUACAGGGGAGACUGGAAUUCCUGGUGUAGCGGUGAAAUGCGCAGAUAUCAGGAGGAACACCGGUGGCGAAGGCGGGUCUCUGAGUAGUAACUGACGCUGAGGAGCGAAAGCAUGGGUAGCGAACAGGAUUAGAAACCCGAGUAGUCCUCUUCGA
rnacentral:rRNA from 1 species